rnacentral:misc_RNA from 1 species
CAACCCUCAAGCCCCAGCGGUUUUGGUGUUGGGGACCGGCGAGUACAGAGGCUUUGGGGACUUGUCCCCCUUCCCUCGGCGCCGCCCCCGAAAUGAAUUGGCGGUCUCGUCGCGGCCUCCUCUGCGUAGUAGCACAACCUCGCAUCAGGAGCGCGGCGCGGCCACUGCCGUAAAACGCCCAACUUUUUUUAAG